CAGCUGGAGCUUUCCUUCUCCCUGUGGUCUUUUCCCAGUACCUCUGGCAGCUCUCCCCAAAGGACCUCUGUGAGACAAGUCUGAAAUAGCUUCCCAGGGGACGCACAGAGCCCACAGAUCUUUUUUCCGCUGCUUCCUCUACCCCUGUAUUUCACUCGACUCUCUAAAUUGACUCAGCUCUAGACCUUCAAGGAAUGUGUUGACCAUUAAGUCCCAAUAUUUUUAUACUCUAUUGUGAUCCUCUGAAAAUGGAUCAUUCUGAGUGAGCACACCAAAUGAAGUUUUUUAAAAGAGGAGGGGAGGUCUUACUCAUAACAGUCAGUUUCCUGCAUGGUAUUUGAACAACUUAGAGAGAAUCGAGUAAUGGUAGCGCCCUUCUUCAGUGAAGGUUUCUUCCUGGAAACAGAACCGGAAGAAGCAAGUGGUCAAAGGUCACAUUGGAUCAGCUACAAUGAUGGACAGCAGGGAAGAGUCUCAAUGGGUACUAUUGUGUCCACGCUGGGCAUUACCUGUGUUGCAGCCACACAGACCUGAUUUAGGCUGCCCUUGCAAGUAGCAAGUACUAAACACCAUUAUUGUUUUGAUGAAAAGGGUCCUGUGGAUUGUUUUUGGUCUGCAUGUUAACAAAGAAAAGAAGAAAGACAGCCAGGUUAUUUCUUGAAAACAGCAAGAAAGACAUUUUUCCCUUGAAAAUGUACAAGAUACAUCUCCGCUGGAAACACACACAUGCACACACACACACACACACACACAAACAAAUGAAAAAUCCUUUCAUCCAGAAUCUGUGGUUUGCUUUCUUUUAUUCCUUAGUAUACAUGAGUAUGUGAAAACACACAACACUCAGACAUGCAGCCUGAUCAAGUGAUAAUCUCUUAUAAUGUGCUUCUAUUUAAAGCAACAAACAGAUGGAGGGUUUAUGAGUGAGGCUGGUAAAAGUAAAAGCAAAUGACUGCAAUAGUUGUACUUUUAAUAGGAUUCCCCACAAUCCAAGACAUUAUUCCCUGAGGAACAAAUUGUUCUUUAAAAUUAUGUUACUUAGGAAAGAGACAGUCGUCCUGACAUUGCUGAGGCAACAGAGAGCUGCAGGACAGCCUUGAAUUGCCGAGGUCUCUCCACUCAAGUCAGUGUCCUAGGGGAGGAAAGACAGUGAUGUCAGGCACCACAAUCCCCAAAGAACAAGCUCAGUGGAAUAGGAUAAAAGGAAGAAAGACCAAAGGGUAAAGGGGGUACAAAACAUGUCUGGGCCCUGAUUGAAUUUAUUACUUUCUACUUCUCAACUUUGAAAAACAAGGUUUGGGAAAUUCCUACAGAUUUAGGAUAAACAUGCAACAUGGGUUCUACCUCUGCCAAUUCAGACCAAAGUCUAGCUCUAGCACAGCAAAUUUUGGUUAACACACAGUGGAACUGUAACCAACCCAGCACUUCAUUAUCACUAUCCCUGCUUAAGAGAAACAAAGCUGACUAUAAUUCUAUCAAUAAGAUGAAUAUACCUUAGUGAUGGCCUUUAGGUUUUGCUGUCAUCAAACUGACCUAAUACUGGGAGGACAAUGAACACUUGGUCUAAAUGGAAGAAGCAGAAAAAUAAACACUAUCGUGUCAAGAACAAUCAAUCAACCUUUUGAACAUCUUCUAGAGUGAUUUGACUGGUGCACCAGCAAGUUAGAUAAACUUUGAGUCACCCAACUAGCAAUGAUCACACUUAUGUUCCUUGUGACAUUAGUGCUAGUGCACAGCCAAGCAUACAGGAAGACAGAGCACUGUCUCACAACCUGUGGAUUUGAUUUCUGAGAGGUCAUGACAAAGAUGCAAAAUCCAAAAGGGUAAACUUCGACUCCAGAUCUCACUUACAUGCAACUUGAAUGGCAAGUGCCGCCCUAGAAACAGGCUGGAUGCUCCUGGAACGUGGGCUGGGAUGUGUUCUGUGCCACAUUCCCGAGCCUUCUUUCUGGCUGGCAUUGAUAAAAGUCCUUUUUAAGGCCUACCCUGUUUCUUUGGGCCUGGAAGCAAGAAUGUUUAUAGACAUCCUGGUGAGAGAAGGCUGUUUGAUGAAUGCAGGAGACUGCGGCUAGGUGUCAGCACUUGGAAAAUGAGGCAAGGACAUGAGGUAUUAAUAUUGUCAAUGAUCUCUUGACAGGAAAACAGAUACUGCAUUCACUGUCAGAUUUAAAUAGACAUCAAGUGCAUUAACGACAAAAGGGCAGACUUCAAACAAAGGGGCUGUGUGGUGAAGAGCCGAGCUAGUCUCUGUGCUGGCAACAGCCUGAUCUGAAAAGACACCAUCAGGGUUGCAGACAGGCCCAGGAUUGUGUGCGGUGACAGAAAACAGAGAUACUGACAGAGAUACCAGCGCCAUAUUAUGCCAAGGAUAUUCUAACGCUGCCUGCGGCUCUAACGAAAGCUGACAUCACUCCCCAUCACUUGGGGUCGUCUCUGCCUGCCCCUGCAGAACAUCUCUCCCCAGACAUCAUUACAAAACUCACUGUGGCUGCAAAGGUCCUGGCAGUUCUGUUCUGCUGGAGUGGUGGGGUCAAGGGGCCUAAGGAUAACCUCAGUCAAUCUAAAUUUGGAAUUUGCAGGAGGAGCACGCCCGACCCCACUGAUAUCUUGGCUACUUGAGGUGAUCAGAAGGCCAUUGUGUGAGGAGCUGUCACCUUGAAUAAACUCCCAGAAAGGACGGCACUCAGUCUGUGGGCUGCUCCAGGAAGGCGUGGGGACGGCCUGGCAGUUGAAAAUGAGAUCCAGCUGCUGGUGCUCGCCCGGGGAGAAAGGUGCUCUGGCUAGCAAUGCUAAGAAUCGGCUGAAAUUGUCAAACUCAAACCAUCUCCAGCAGCUGAAAUUAAGCGAGAAUUGCCUCUGUGAGUCUCCUCCCAGAGCUCAGAGUUGGGAUGUGAUUACCCCCAAUAUGUGACUUUUGUGUUCAAAAAUAAAUAAAUAAAAUUAACCAGGAAAAGCAAACAUGCACGAAACAGCACAGUCCCAUGUGUGGCCACAGGCCUUUAUUUAUCAUGAAGGUUAUUUGUAAAAUAUGAGGCUCUGCUCGUAAAUUAAGUGAGGUGGCAUUGUGUUUCUCUCUCCCUCGUCCUCCCCACAGCCCUUCUUCUCCCGCCAUGGCAACUGCCAUCAACUGUGAAAAUUACGGAGGGAACAGUUUGCUUGCAAAGAACAUUUUGAUGGGGAGGCACUCCGAGGCUGGAAUUUGGGAACCCGCUGGUUUGUGACUCAGUAGGCAAUGGUUUCUCUACACAUCUGCAACGGAUUCAUUUGUUUCUAUCUCUUCAAACUACAACUUCUUGGGACUGGAGGGGGAACAACACAUUUAAUGGCAUAUGCAGUGUUUUUAAUUAAAAGAUCUGGCUUUGGCCAUAGUAAGUAAAGCAGGCUUGCCCUGUGUCAGGCUGACGUGCAGCUGUCUGUGUGGGGUUUCUUUUCGAA
rnacentral:lncRNA from 1 species